rnacentral:rRNA from 1 species
AUUGAACGCUGGCGGCAUGCCUUACACAUGCAAGUCGAACGGCAGCACGGGAGCAAUCCUGGGGUGGCGAGUGGCGAACGGGUGAGUAAUAUAUCGGAACGUGCCCAGUCGUGGGGAUAACGUAGCGAAAGCUACGCUAAUACCGCAUACGAUCUAUGGAUGAAAGCGGGGGAUCGCAAGACCUCGCGCGAUUGGAGCGGCCGAUAUCAGAUUAGGUAGUUGGUGAGGUAAAGGCUCACCAAGCCGACGAUCUGUAGCUGGUCUGAGAGGACGACCAGCCACACUGGGACUGAGACACGGCCCAGACUCCUACGGGAGGCAGCAGUGGGGAAUUUUGGACAAUGGGCGCAAGCCUGAUCCAGCAAUGCCGCGUGCAGGAUGAAGGCCUCGGUUGUAACGUAG